GCGCUAUACAUGCAGUCGAACGAGCUCUCCCAAAUUGAUUUUAUGCUUGCAUAAAUGAUUUUUGGAUUCGGAGCGAGUGGCGAACUGGUGAGUAACACGUGGGUAACCUGCCCCAAAGCGGGGGAUAACAUUUGGAAACAAGUGCUAAUACCGCAUAAUUAGUUGGAACCGCAUGGUUCCAACUUGAAAGAUGGCUCUGCUAUCACUUUGGGAUGGACCCGCGCCGUAUUAGUUAGUUGGUGAGAUAAAAGCCCACCAAGACGAUGAUACGUAGCCGACCUGAGAGGGUAAUCGGCCACAUUGGGACUGAGACACGGCCCAGACUCCUACGGGAGGCAGCAGUAGGGAAUCUUCCACAAUGGACGAAAGUCUGAUGGAGCAACGCCGCGUGAGUGAUGAAGGUUUUCGGAUCGUAAAACUCUGUUGUUAAAGAAGAACAAGUGUUAGAGUAACUGUUAACACUUUGACGGUAUUUAACCAGAAAGCCACGGCUAACUACGUGCCAGCAGCCGCGGUAAUACGUAGGUGGCAAGCGUUGUCCGGAUUUAUUGGGCGUAAAGCGAGCGCAGGCGGUUUUGUAAGUCUGCUGUGAAAGCCCUCAGCUUAACUGAGGAAGUGCAGUGGAAACUACAAAACUUGAGUACAGAAGAGGAAAGUGGAACUCCAUGUGUAGCGGUGAAAUGCGUAGAUAUAUGGAAGAACACCAGUGGCGAAGGCGGCUUUCUGGUCUGUUACUGACGCUGAGGCUCGAAAGCAUGGGUAGCGAACAGGAUUAGAUACCCUGGUAGUCCAUGCCGUAAACGAUGAAUACUAGGUGUUGGAGGGUUUCCGCCCUUCAGUGCCGCAGCUAACGCAUUAAGUAUUCCGCCUGGGGAGUACGACCGCAAGGUUGAAACUCAAAGGAAUUGACGGGGGCCCGCACAAGUGGUGGAGCAUGUGGUUUAAUUCGAUGCUACGCGAAGAACCUUACCAGCUCUUGACAUCUUCUGCCAACCCAAGAGAUUGGGCGUUCCCUUCGGGGACAGAAUGACAGGUGGUGCAUGGUUGUCGUCAGCUUCGGUUUCCGGGAAAAAUGUUUGGGGUUUAAAUCCCCCGC
rnacentral:rRNA from 2 species